UACGGAGGGUGCAAGCGUUAAUCGGAAUUACUGGGCGUAAAGCGUGCGCAGGCGGUUUGUUAAGUCUGUCGUGAAAUCCCCGGGCUCAACCUGGGAAUGGCGAUGGAUACUGGCGAGCUAGAGUGUGUCAGAGGAUGGUGGAAUUCCCGGUGUAGCGGUGAAAUGCGUAGAGAUCGGGAGGAACAUCAGUGGCGAAGGCGGCCAUCUGGGACAACACUGACGCUGAAGCACGAAAGCGUGGGGAGCAAACAGG
rnacentral:rRNA from 1 species